GGAAAAAAAGAAUUUUAGGUGAGGUAGCCCCCACUAGCUCUCAUCAAUUUAAUAUCCAGCUUUUAAUUUGUUGCAGCAAUGAUUAUGUUUAUCACAUGAAAUGCCAUGGACAUGGCCCCUCUAAGUGAAGAUUUUGGUAUAGGGGUAGGUGAUCUAGUCCAUUACAUUUAUGGUUAUUAGCAAGUGUCGAAAAUGUCUCAAUCAUUUAGAGAAUGGAGCAGCGCAAACAUGUAAAUUUGGUGCUCAAUAUGGUGUGUAAUUAUCUUCAAGAUGGUCACGAAAUUAAUUUUCAAGGUAGGGGUCCAGGUCAAACCCCUCGCCACCCAAAGGCGGAGUUAAUUAAAAAAGGAUGGUCAAGAAAUGCUAAAUGUCUCGGUGGCCAGUGCUACCUCCAAGUGUGUUGAUGGGAGGUAACAGGUAUCAUAUAAUACUUGAGGCGCAUAACAAGUUAGCCUAAAGAACACCUCAUCAACAAAAUAAAAAAAGGAAGCAAAUGUCUCGACUCUCAUGGAUAAUUGGUAGAACAUGGUACAAGGUAAUAGUUCAAGGUCAUUUUCCAUUAGCUUUCCAAAUAAAUGUAUUUUUUCAUUACAGCAAUUUGGUCUUUUAUUAGGACCAAAAAUGAUUUUAUUUAACCAUCCAAACAUAUUAUUAUUACAUGAUUAGACAUCCUCCAAGUUCAGGAGCUUAUGUUUUAGGUAUGAAAUCCAGUGUGACUCAUGCUCAUGUUGCUUCUGACCUUCUUGCAAGUUUGGUGCUGGUUCCAUGGCAAUGUUGUCAUUCAUAUGCUGCAUAUCAUGCUCUUCUUGCUCAAAGUCUGGUGGUGCUGGUUCCAUGGCUAUGUGAUCUUUCCUGUUUGGCUGAUUAGUGACAGAAUUAAGCUCAUGUUUGGUAUGUUGGUAGUGUUGAUCAGCAAAUGAAAAGGUGGUAAGGACCAUUAGUCCAAGGGACAUGACUAGCAAGCAUUUGGAGGUGUACAUCUUUGCAAUGCUAUUGUGUUUGUUAAACUAA